rnacentral:rRNA from 1 species
GUUGGAUGGGGUAACUGGGCCUAACCAAGGCAGUGAGUCAGGUAGUCCGGCCUCGAGAGGGGGCACGGACAGCAUCUGGAGACUUGAGAACAACGGAGUCCCAGACUCCUACUGGGAAGGCGAGCAAGUGGGGCAAUUAUUGCACAAAUGUUGGGAAACCCUUGAUGCAUGCAACUGCCGCGUGGAGGAUCGAAGUCCCGUUGGGAUGUAAACUCCUUUCGACCGGGACGAUAAUGACGGUACCGGUGGAAGGAAGCCCCAGGUUAACUCUGUGCCAUGCGAGC